GCGCCCGUAGCUCAGCGGAUAGAGCAUCGGACUUCGGAUCCGGCGGUCGGGGGUUCAAAUCCCUCCGGGCGCGCCA
rnacentral:tRNA from 1 species